rnacentral:lncRNA from 1 species
AAGCUUGAAAGUUUUAAGCUUGAUGUGAAAGCAAUCCUAGCUUAAUGCACAAUGUGAGUGGUGUCACUGCUCCACUUACGUAUUUAAAAGUUAUUG